GGGCCCGCACAAGCGGAGGAACAUGUGGUUUAAUUCGAUGAUACGCGAGGAACCUUACCUGGGCUUAAAUGUAAGAUGACAGGCUGAGAAAUCAGUCCUUCUUCGGACAUUUUACAAGGUGCUGCAUGGCUGUCGUCAGCUCGUGCCGUGAGGUGUCGGGUUAAGUCCCAUAACGAGCGCAACCCCUAUCUCUAGUUGCCAGCGGAUAAUGCCGGGGACUCUAGAGAAACUGCCUACGCAAGUAGUGAGGAAGGCGGGGAUGACGUCAAGUCAGCACGGCCCUUACGUCCAGGGCUACACACGUGUUACAAUGGCCGGUACAGAGGGCAGCUACCUGGUGACAGGAUGCAAAUCUCUAAAGCCGGUCUCAGUUCGGAUCGAAGUCUGCAACUCGACUUCGUGAAGUUGGAUUCGCUAG
rnacentral:rRNA from 1 species